AAGCAGAGCCUCGGGAUCAGCGCCUUUAUAAAAGCGACCUCAGAGGGUCCCUCAGCCCUUGUACCGAGCGAGGGCACAGCGACAAGACCCUCAGAAGGAAGCCGGCCCUCACCAGGCACCGGAUCUGCAGCAUCUCGGUGGCCUUGACGGUGGACUUCCCAGCCUCCAGAGCCGUGAGAAACUAACUUUUGUUGUUCAAUUCUUCGUGUUUGAUAUGGUGAAGUUUUCAACAGCUUGAAGUCACAUUUCGAGAGCAGGAAUUAUCCCUGGAGAGCAGAGAGCACAUUGGGUCAUAAUGGCCAUAGAGGGAUAUUGGACUCCUUCCAGCAUUUCAGAUCACAAGAAAUGCAGAGCUGCUCUGAAGACCCCGGUAGGGCCCAGAGGUGCCCCAGUCAACAAUACCAUGAGAGUUCUCAUGGCAACUUGUAAAGCUUAUUAUUAUUAAGCCAAGCCAUGAGAUUUACAGUAAGGAGAAAAUGGAUCAUUCUGGAGAUAGGAAGUCUAUAGAGCAGGGAAGAAGGAGGCUAUGAAGCAAGUGUGUUUCAUAGUUAGAGCAGAGAAUUAGAAAGCCCUUACGGUAUAGUUGGAGGAGAAAGAGGAGAAAACAAGAAAGGGGAGGAAUGGAUAAUACUUACCUAUGUUGUACACGGAGGAGAGAUGCUUUAGUGUCCAGUUGGGGAGGAAAAAGAGCCCUGGGUACAGAGUCAUAAGGGGAAAAGAACUGCUCUUUCCAGCAAAGACAAGUUCAUGCACAUCUCUUUUUUUUUUUUUUUUUUUUUUUCUGCUCUGUCUCCAUUUGGGUGGGCUUUCUCCAAAGAAUCAUAAAAAAAUAAGCUAUGUUUUAGAAUCUCAUUCUUCUUGAGGGAAGACCAGAAAACUCUCUCUCUACCUCUGGACUAAUCUGCCUCAAUGUAGCUGAGGAAAUCUGGACUUCCUCAGCAGCUGGCGUUGUUCAAAAUAGACCAUCCUUGCUUUGGGUCAUACGACUCAAGCCUCA